rnacentral:miRNA from 1 species
AUGCGUAUAGAAAUCUGAGGCC